GCCCUAGAUCCACAUGAUUUGAGUAGGUUACUUGUUUUUGAAAGCAAGCUAGGGUAU
rnacentral:ncRNA from 2 species